AGAAUCCACUUACUGGUCACUUUCCUAUUUGUCAAUAGAAAAUGCUGUUUUGUAAUUUUAAGGACUCGCUGGAAGCAUGAGUGUCUGAAUCCGGAUGUUAUUGACGACAGCAGGCAGAAUCAUAAACAGACAGUAAAACUGGAAAUCAGCAGUACAUUUACAUUUCUACUACUAUGGCAUGGCGUGACGCUCAGGCUUACUGUAGACUGCAUCACACAGACUUGGCCAGCUCCAGAGAUGCAACCGAAGACUCAGUUAUUAUGGGACUGAUCUCUGCUUGGACUUGGUUUGGUCUGUUCACAGACUCCUGGAAGUGGACAGACAAAAUGAAUUUCUCUACCAUCAGCUGGAUGAUUGGAAAACCUGAUAAUGCCCUGUGGCAAGAAAACUGUGGUUAUUUAAAUAACAGUCUGGCUGCUGAUGCACUGUGUUCAGACAUAAUGCCUUUCUUCUGUUACUCAGUAAUCACAGGACAACAACAAAUAGUGAAGGUCCAGUCCUAUGAGGAUGUGAAUGAUCCUGCAGUAAAGGCACACAUCUUGUAGCAGAUCAACCAGAAACUGAAGGAUCAUCUGAAUACAGGGAACGUCACAGUGAAAUUGGCACAAACAACCAAAGAGAGUUGUGUUUCACGAGGUGAAAGUAGAAAAAAAAUACUACAGUCG